CGCGGGGUGGAGCAGCCUGGAAGCUCGUCGGGCUCAUAACCCGAAGGUCGCAGGUUCAAAUCCUGCCCCCGCUACCA
rnacentral:tRNA from 3 species